rnacentral:rRNA from 1 species
AUUGAACGCUGGCGGCAUGCCUUACACAUGCAAGUCGAACGGUAACAGGUCUUCGGAUGCUGACGAGUGGCGAACGGGUGAGUAAUACAUCGGAACGUGCCUAGUAGUGGGGGAUAACUACUCGAAAGAGUGGCUAAUACCGCAUGAGAUCUACGGAUGAAAGCAGGGGAUCGCAAUACCUUGUGCUACUAGAGCGGCCGAGGGCGGAUGAGGUAGUUGGUGGGAUAAAGGCUUACCAAGCCGACGAUCUGUAGCUGGUCUGAGAGGACGAUCAGCCACACUGGGACUGAGACACGGCCCAGACUCCUACGGGGGCAGCAGUGGGGAAUUUUGGACAAUGGGCGCAAGCCUGAUCCAGCAAUGCCGCGUGCAGGAUGAAGGCCUUCGGGUUGUAAACUGCUUUUGUACGGAACGAAAAGCCCCGGGUUAAUACCCUGGGGUCAUGACGGUACCGUAAGAAUAAGCACCGGCUAACUACGUGCCAGCCGCCGCCGUAA